rnacentral:lncRNA from 1 species
CUUACUGUAUUUAGUCUUCUGUUAGCAGAGUAGCUAGUGUACCCAGUCAUGUAUUUAGUCUAGGCAAGGACUCUAUGUUCUGUUCUAAACCGCAGAUGGGUUUUAUCAUUUAGGGAGUUCAACGUUUUGCGCUAUUUAGUCGCGGUCUGUACUGUGCGUGCUUGUUCUCAUGUAUGCAGUAAUCCACUUUCCAGCCUGAUUUUUGGUUCCACAAAAUCAGGGUGUAUGCACUCAU